CCUCCAGCAUAAAGUAAGCUAGCAAAAUGAGGAAACAAGAACUGUAUUUCGACUGAUUCUGCAUUAAGAACAGGCCCGCGGGCGACUCAUCUGGUCCUUACGGGCGACCUGGUGCCCGCGGGCACCGCGUUGGUGACCCCUGGCAUAAGACAACAAAGUUAAGAUGUCCUGCAAAACAGUGCAAAUUGUGAGACUGUGAAUCCACUUGGGUCACGGGAUUAUCAAUUGGAAGGCGUCACAGUUCUGAGCACUUCCCCCAGCUUCGGACAAUCCACUACACAAAUUGGCGUCACGAACAGGAUGGCCCAGAAGCUACAGGUCGACAGCCGCUCCCGCUGUCUCUGUCAGGCAGACAGUGUGUUGCACGCGCGCAUCACAAGGUAAGCAGUUUGCUUAAAGUGUAAACAUUUUCUGCCUGGAGAGAGCCGGAUCGAUAAGACUAAUAGCUCAACCUGUUUUUGAUAAAAGAUAGGUUUAGUCAGGUUCUCCAAAAACAACCUGGAAUGGGGUAAAUUAUGGUUGGAUUGAGUUGUUUUAUAUGUGAUCAUUUGUCUGUGUGUUUGUUGAAAACUUGUGAUUUCUUGUUUUUAGCUAUAAGGGGAUUGUUAAUAGAAUUUUUGUGGUUUGGAGUGUUUUUGAAGCAUAGACUAUGUGAGACGAAACAUUUCUUUUAACCUCUUCAUCCUCUGUCGUUGUUGGCAGAGGAUGCUUCUUUCUGCAAGUGCAUCAGAAUUAGCCAAAGUUGGAUACAGCUAAAUUUAAGGCAGGGUUUGCUAACUGGUGUGACAAGUGGCCCAUACAAAUGUAUGAAGUCUAUGAAAGUGCGAGACACCUGUCUAUGUGGAAACUGCAGCGGUCCCUAGUCCUUGUGACUCAGCGUGUAAAAAAGCCUCAUAUUAGGUGAUGAUUCAGUAACUCCGGUAAAGGAGAUCAACUGAGCCAAGUUGUCACGAAUCUGUUUAAUGGCUGCAGAAUAGACAGGUGGCGUCUCGGGCUCCAUAUGGUAGAACUUUGGUGAAACUUGGUGAAACUGUAUGGGACUGACCAGACACGAUGUCUGUAGGAUUGUUGGGUGAUUCCUAGUGAUUCUAUGGCGCCUUAGGCCAGUGAUCCGUGUUGGUCAGUUUGAUAACGCAGGUGCUGCUCCAAUGAAACGGGUUAAUCGCCGUUGUAUGAGCAAUGAUGGAACCUGGUUUUUGUGAUAUGAGACGGCCGAUUCCACAAAAGCACGCGUGCAUUAUUUGUUUAUAUUUGUCCGGACAUGGGGUGGUAUUGUAAUUUAUAAAUGUGUGUGUAUAAUGAUGAAUGCUGAAAUGUGUGUGUAUUGAGUGAGUCAGUUUAUGUUGGUACAUUUAGAUAUAUGCGUAAUUUAAUAACUUUUGUGUAGCACCUGUUUUCUUAUCUGUUUUAAUUCCCCUGUAAUUGUCUAUUCCCCUCUUCUGAAAGGCAAACAUUAUACCUCUCGGUAUUCCCCCUCCCUCACGCAACCUCCCCCCUCCCCUCCCUUCACGCUUUUUCUCACAGCCCCGCUAUCUGUAAAAGUUGGGAAAUUGUCUAAAAUGUGUGUGCUUGUGAGAAAGUAGACAAAGUUUAUGUACAGACAACAUAUGAGUGAAUGAUCUAUCCAUUUAAUUAUCUUAUUCCGCUCUCGGAGGUUGGAUCGCGGGGGCAGCAGCCUAAGCAGGGAAGUCCAGAAUUCCCUCACCCCUUGGCUAUUUGUCCAUCUAAGAGUGAAUGAUAAAUGUUGUUUCUCAUUAUUAAGGUUCUGAUAUGAUACAGCUGUGCUUCUGGAUGAGAAAAAUAGUUGACUGUUGCAUUAUUUUUAACUGUGCUGGUGAUUGAGACUGUGCGAUAUUAUAGUUGUAAGAAGGCACUGAGAUUUUCAGUACGGAAAAAGGCCCCUCUGAGGCUCUCGCUCUCUGGCGAAUUGUCUGUGUGUGUGUGCGUGUAUGGGAGACAUUUUGAGAUAAGAGUGUGUCAUUGUGACGAGGCUGUGUGAGUGACAGCUGCACGAAACGUGGUUCGAAGAGGUGUGACACAGCUAGGUUAGCAUUGAGCUAGGUUAGCAUUGAGAAAGGUUAGCAUUGAGCUAGGUUAGCAUUGAGUUAGCAUGGCAUUGGAUUAGUUUAGCAUUGAGCUAGGUUUAAAGAAUAAAUAAAUAAAUAAAUAAAUAAAAAACUAUAUAUAUAUAUAUAUAUAUAUAGUGGACAGCUGUACUCAGU